CAACACAACAUUGCUUGCUCAAUACAAAGAGAACGCGGAUUCAUAAAGGCGCACGGUGAUUUGUAUUUAUUUCUACCACCAUUGGAGCGGUCCAAGGUGCUGAAACAUGAAUCAAAGUGCGGGAGUAGCCCAAAAUGUUCGUCGUUACUCUUCUGAUGAUAAGAAUCCUGGCCCUUUGUGCGAUUGUGGAACGGGGCUGCUAGCUUCCAUAGAAACUCAUAAUCGGAGGGGUUUCUAAAAAGAGACAACUGGACCACCAAUGGGGAGUGCCAUGGAGGCACUGGAAGUCGUCCUACCCCGAAGUCAAAGACAAGAUCGGAGCUGUGAGAUCCAGCAGGGGGAGAAGCUGUAGUAACCAUCCAUUUUAUGUUGCACAGCCAUCUGCCUCAUUACAAUAAUCUCCCACACUCCAAAGACGCUCUCUGAAGGAUUCACACGCAGUCUCUGAAACAGCUUUGAAGAGCAGAGCAUGCUCGAGGGAACAAAGCCAUAGGGAUGUGUGUGUGAGUGUGUAAAAGUGUGCAUGCAAUUUUUUUUUUUACCCUUCCAUUCAACCAGCCUUGCAUUUUAAACAGUAUUUGGCCAGAGGGAGCUACUUUAGCAGUUGCUCUAAAUAUGGAGAACUUAGACCACAUUUCAGUGACAUCUGUGGCACCCAUUGAGAAACUCAUUCACCUCUCCAACUGUGUCGUAUCUAAAUGAGCAAUGGCUGGUUGGCUUACAUGUGAGGGACUAUUUUGGGCUUGCAUCACUUAGAGGUGCCUUGCGAAGAUUUUUUAUUUGAAUACGCUGAUAGCUUAGGGCUCUAUUCAAUCCGCAGUGUUGAAGAUCCGCUUUAUAGUGCGGUUGAUAAUUAAAGGCAAUGUUCAUGCGGUCGUGGAGACUGCAUUCACGGUAAACACUGCAUACUGUAUUAACAUUUGAAGGAUAUGUAUUUUCUGCUUGGAUAGUUCCAUCUGUGCCACUGAGUCUGGCUUUAAUUAUAGUUUGUCGACACAUUUAUAUCUGAUAUAUUGGAAUCACAUCUCCAUUUAAACCAAAAAUCUUAAGUUUUUAUUAACAAAUGUUAAUUCCAUUUAAAAUCAAACUAAAGCUUGAAACCCUACACUCUAAGAAAAAAGGUUUCCAAAAGGGUUA